GAACAUAGGGGAAGCCUUAUAUAAAAUUGUUCAAUAAACAAAAGAUGUCUUUAACAUGUGUUUCAGAUCUUUCUUCUCAUGAUUCCAUGUUAGGUACAACAACUAUGACCGGGCUGUCAUCAAUACCGUUCCUUAUGAUGUCGUCCAUCGCUGGUAUACAGCACACCGGACUCUAACGAUAGAGUUGAGGAGACCUGAGAAUGAGUUUUGGGUCAAACUAAAGCCUGGCAGGGUCCUAUUUAUAGACAACUGGCGUGUCCUACAUGGCAGGGAAUGCUUCACUGGCUACCGCCAACUCUGUGGCUGCUAUUUAACAAGAGAUGAUGUAUUAAACACUGCUCGCCUCUUGGGGCUUCAGGCUUAAAAUUGACAGCAUCUGGAUUAUGAAUACACCUGGCACCCUGGCUACCAGAAUUUCAUAUGGGCAGAAUAAUAUUGUGUCAAACUCUACUUCAGAUUGUCUCCUUAUCCCAUCCCACAAAACAGAAUCUGUCCGUUUCUCUAGUAAGGGAGACUUGUUGGAGAGGCGGGACUCUGAGUUAUCUAAUGUCAGACAUCUAGUGGGGCAGCUCUCUUCCUCAUGUUAUAACAUGGAUCCACUUGUUUUAUUUAAACCUUUUAAUAUAAUUUUGGUCAGUCUCCUUCAGAAAUAUAAUCUCCAUAUUGAUAGGAAAGCAAUAAUUGCCAUGAGGUAACGAUUUUUUUCCCAAGUAGAUCAGUUAGAAAGAAAUGCAUUCUAGAAAUAACAAAAAUCCUGAUAAAGCAACAAUUUGCAAAAUGUUUGGUCUUAGGACACCUUAACACUCUUAAAAGUUAUUGAAGGCCCCAAGGAGUUCUUGGGUGUGGGUUCUAUCUAUUGAUAUGAAUUAUUUUAGGUAUUAAGACUGAGAAAUAUUUAAAACUCAAGAAGAACACAGAAGCACACAUCCCUCAGCUAUCAGAGAGAUGACAUAACCAUAUGUCAUGUAGCCUCUGGAAAAGUCCUCUGUAUCCUCAUGAGAUAACGAGAGGGGGAAAAAAAGCUACUACUGCCUUUGUAACUUCCACUUAGCCUACUACAGGGCUAUGCACAUCUUAGUUUCCAAAAGUCUGCUUAAUUUCAAAAGAAAAAUGCCUAAUUGAAUGUAACUCAUCUUGGUGUUAUUAUACAAAAUAAUUUUUAAUCUGCAGACCCACGAAAAGGGUCUCAGGGACUCCUCCAGGGGUCUUCAGACCAUACUUUGAGAACCCAUGGGCUAGCGACUACCUUGAGACAGUCCUUUACCUAGGCCUGUGGAUUAAAGGGUUUAGCUGAAACCCUAGAUUCUUCUCUAUAGUCUAAUAGAACUCCAAACGUUGUAAGAAUUGCUUGGUAGCAUAAGCUCAGGGAUAAGGUGGGAAUUGAGUUCAAAUAUAGUGUUUUAUCUUCCACACAAAUCAUCUCUAUAGGAGUUAAAUUAGGAAGUCACAACAGCGCCUGUUGAACAAACUCAUCAGUGUGGUAAUCCUUUGAGGGAUAAUUGCAGAAAGGUUUUAGAGACUUGUGAGGUUCCAUAUGAUAAUUCUUUACACCUCCCCCCCGAAGAGAAAGUACACAGGGCUAUUCUGUAAUAUUGUUCAGGGAAAUCAGCAUGACAGAUGCUGUGCCUCCAGAGAGUUCUCUGGAGAUUACUACCCAAAUGUGUAUUUUGGCAAUUUGGUGGUAUUUAGGAUGUAAUAUGUUUUCCUCCAUUUCUGCUAAUUUUCUCUCUCUCUCUCUCAUAACAUACUAUACAUGCUAAUUGCCAAGAUUUGAAUGAGUCAAAUUUAGUAGCUUGCUGCUUUUAUUUUUUAAAUGGCUUCUUUU
rnacentral:lncRNA from 1 species